AUGUAUUGUUGUCCAUGUGUUGCAUACAUUUUUCUUAGAGAAGUGCCGAGCAUGACUGCUGAAUAGAGCGCUGAGAAAACUCAGAUUGUCUGCGAGUUGUUUGUCGUGCAAGCGAAUGCUGGAAAUAGGCCAGGAAAUUAUUUGACACCAAGUGCAUUUGAUGAGGUGACAAGGCAAUUCAAUAUGAGAACUGGGCUUGACUACACACAGACGCAAUUGAAAAACAAAUGGGACAAGCUUAAAGGUGAUUUCAGCGUAUUCAAGAAACUCAAGUUGCAGGAGACCGGAGCCGGAUGGGACUAUGUGAACAAUACUGUGUCACAAGAUGAUGAAUGGUGGAAAAAGGUUAAAAUUGAUAUUAAAGGUUGUGGAAAGUUCAAGAAGAAAGGACUUGCUAAUGACGAAAAUUUGCGGACUAUGUUUGGAGAUAUCACAAGUGAUGGUACUGACCAUUGGAAUCCUUCUUCGGGCACACCUCCUCCCUCUAGUGCGGCCGUGAAAGCCAGCAUCAAUGUUGAUGAGAUUGAAGAUCUUGAUUUGGAUGAUACCGAAGAACAAGCAGCGACACCUAGGUCAUCUAAAGUGAGGCUUGGAAUUAUCAUUCCGAAGAAGAACAAGAAACCCAAGACCGCACAAGUGAUAUGUGAUCAAGUUACAAGGAUUGGUGAUAUUGUCGAGGCUUCUUCCUAA
rnacentral:rRNA from 1 species